GAUGAACGCUGGCGGCGUGCCUAAUACAUGCAAGUCGAGCGAACAGAUGAGGAGCUUGCUCCUCUGACGUUAGCGGCGGACGGGUGAGUAACACGUGGAUAACCUACCUAUAAGACUGGGAUAACUUCGGGAAACCGGAGCUAAUACCGGAUAAUAUAUUGAACCGCAUGGUUCAAUAGUGAAAGACGGUUUUGCUGUCACUUAUAGAUGGAUCCGCGCCGCAUUAGCUGGUUGGUAAGGUAACGGCUUACCAAGGCAACGAUGCGUGGCCGACCGGAGAGGGGGAUCGGCCACACUGGAACUGAGACACGGUCCAGACUCCUACGGGAGGCAGCAGUAGGGAAUCUUCUGCAAUGGGCGAAAGCCUGACGGAGCAACGCCGCGUGAGUGAUGAAGGUCUUCGGAUCGUAAAACUCUGUUAUUAGGGAAGAACAAAUGUGUAAGUAACUAUGCACGUCUUGACGGUACCGAAUCAGAAAGCCACGGCUAACUACGUG
rnacentral:rRNA from 1 species